CCAGGGAGAGCAUAGAGACGCUGAGUUCCUGGCCCACCUUCAGCCAUGAAGAUCAUUUACCUGCUCUUUGCUUUUGUCUUUCUGGUGCUCCAGGGUGUGCCAGAAUUCUCGCAGGCUUGGAGCUCCAGGAAGCGAUGUAGAUAUCUUGGUGGUAUCUGUUUCAGUGGACCAUGUCCCAAAAGUUAUAGAUUCAUUGGAAUAUGUUCUCGAAAGUACAGCU